rnacentral:lncRNA from 1 species
CAUAGUUGUCAAAAGCGGCCGCGCUGGCCGCUAUAGCGGUGCGGAGCGAAAAAAUCAGCCCCACCGCGUCGGUGCGGUUCAGAUGUGAAAAGCGGCCGAUAUGCAACGGUUUGGAGCGAUUCAAACACAGGUCAAAGCAGCGCUACAUCCUUUUUCAGCCUUUUUCACAGUCAAAGUUAAGAAGAAGGAGAAGAAUGAGAGAUCUGUUAAUACGAUCAAUGAACAGUGAAGAUAAUAGUGAUUUACACACUGUUUCUCUCAAAGACACUAGGGUUGAUAGGAGAGAAGGCAGAAGAACAAAUUGUGAAAACAAAAACCAG